GAGUUUGAUCAUGGCUCAGAUUGAACGCUGGCGGUAGGCUUAACACAUGCAAGUCGAGCGGAAACGAAGGUAGCUUGCUAUCAGGCGUCGAGCGGCGGACGGGUGAGUAACGCGUGGGAAUUUGCCUAGUAGUGGGGGAUAGCCCAGAGAAAUUUGGAUUAAUAGCAUAAUCUCUACGGAGUAAAGGUGGCCUCUCCUUGGAAGCUAUCGCUAUUAGAUAAGCCCGCGUUGGAUUAGCUUGUUGGUGAGGUAAAGGCUCACCAAGGCGACGAUCCAUAGCUGGUCUGAGAGGAUGAUCAGCCACACUGGAACUGAGACACGGUCCAGACUCCUACGGGAGGCAGCAGUGGGGAAUAUUGCACAAUGGGCGCAAGCCUGAUCCAGCCAUGCCGCGUGUGUGAUGAAGGCCCUAGGGUCGUAAAGCACUUUCGCCAGAGAUGAUAAUGACAGUAUCUGGUAAAGAAACCCCGGCUAACUCCGUGCCAGCAGCCGCGGUAAUACGGAGGGGGUUAGCGUUGUUCGGAAUUACUGGGCGUAAAGCGUACGUAGGCGGAUCGGAAAGUAUAGGGUGAAAUCCCAGGGCUCAACCCUGGAACUGCCUUAUAAACUCCCGGUCUUGAGUUCGAGAGAGGUGAGUGGAAUUCCAAGUGUAGAGGUGAAAUUCGUAGAUAUUUGGAGGAACACCAGUGGCGAAGGCGGCUCACUGGCUCGAUACUGACGCUGAGGUACGAAAGUGUGGGGAGCAAACAGGAUUAGAUACCCUGGAGUCCACGCCCGUAAACGAUCAUCACUCGCUGUUGGCGAUAUACUGUCAGCGGCCAAGCGAAAGUAUUAAGUGAUGCACCUGGGGAGUACGGCCGCAAGGCUAAAACUCAAAGGAAUUGACGGGGGCCCGCACAAGCGGUGGAGCAUGUGGUUUAAUUCGACGCAACGCGAAGAACCUUACCAGGCCUUGACAUCCUAGAAACUUAGCAGAGAUGCUUUGGUGCCUUCGGGAAUCUAGUGACAGGUGCUGCAUGGCUGUCGUCAGCUCGUGUCGUGAGAUGUUGGGUUAAGUCCCGCAACGAGCGCAACCCUUGUCCUUAGUUGCUAACAUUUAGUUGAGAACUCUAAGGAGACUGCCGGUGACAAACCGGAGGAAGGUGGGGAUGACGUCAAGUCAUCAUGGCCCUCACGACCAGGGCUACACACGUGCUACAAUGGAGCGUACAAAGGGUUGCGACCUCGCGAGAGUGAGCUAAUCCCAUAAAACGUUUCGUAGUCCGGAUCGCAGUCUGCAACUCGACUGCGUGAAGUCGGAAUCGCUAGUAAUCGUAGAUCAGAAUGCUACGGUGAAUACGUUCCCGGGCCUUGUACACACCGCCCGUCACACCAUGGGAGUGGGUUGCAAAAGAAGUGGGUAGCAUAACCUUCGGGAGUGCGCUCACCACUUUGUGAUUCAUGACUGGGGUGAAGUCGUAACAAGGUAGCC
rnacentral:rRNA from 1 species